AGGUUGUUGAGGAUGGUUACCAAUUUUUCCAGAAGAGACAGCUUGUUACUUUAUUCAGUGCUCCAAAUUACUGUGGCGAAUUUGACAACGCAGGAGCAAUUAUGAUUGUUUCAGAAGAUUUAACAUGUUGGUUCAGUAUCCUGCCCCCUGACAAAACAAAACUUGUAAUGAGAACAACUAAUAGAAAAGACUGAAUUAUUUUUAAAAGUUGGAAUUCAUAUCUUCUUUAAUUUAUGGUCAAGUAAAAUAAAGAUUUGUACAGUUUUUGCUUCCCAGACAACUUCAGAAUAGAAAAAAAACAGACGUAUGUGCAAUUUGCAUGUACGAUGAAAUCAAAACUAUUUCCAUUCUUUAUGGGAAAAGUAUAUUGUAUACUGUAUAUACAUAAAAAAAAAACUUCUAUUCAGUGACAGAUUUUGAAUAAAUUUGUGCACAUUAGAUAUUUAUAAGUUUAUAAUAAAAAGAUGAGAAAGUACUUGCUAUAUAAUGAAAUUAAAUAUAUAUAUAAGUUUUGCAAAUGUAAUAAAAUGUUUGUCAUUCUUUGUUACUUCUGUGAAUUGCAUCAUCUGUUGUAAAUGUCAAUAUUGGUUUCUGUUGAAGUUAUACGUGAAUUUCUAUCAAACAAUAAUCCAUUGGCAUUUGUAUAUUAUAUAUAUAUAUAAAUACAUACAUAUAUAUAAUUUAUAUGUAUAUAUAUGUUGUAGAAAAUAUAAGUAAAAUUUAGUUUGUGUUAUAAAUUUUUAUUAUUAUAAUUAAACAAUACAAAAAUAAUCAGCCUGUAAAGGAAUUUUAACAUUUAUAAGUGCUUUUUGGAACAUCUUCAAAACCUCAUUUAAAUUAAUUUUAUAAAUUAAGAUUAGAGUGUUCACAUUUUAAUUUAGAGGAUGCUUCUAAAGACAGAGCAAUAGAUGUUUUUAAAUGCCAAAAUUCUAGUAACCAGUUGAUUAUUUAUUAAAUAUAAUAUAAUAUAAAACUGUUUGAAGAACAAAGUAAUUAUAUAUUAUUUUACUGAUGUUGUGAGGAAAGUACUGUAUUAAUGAAAGUUUUAAAUUUGUCUUGUAAUCUUAUUAUGAUCACAUUUAAGAUAUUUUAAUAGUGUAACUUUAAAAGAAAAGAUAUAUGAAUACUGUAAUUGUUAUUAAAUUUACAGUAGUUAUCUCUUCUUUUAACUGUCUUCUUAUAAUCCAAUUCAUACUGUAUUUCUUGGGGGGAAAGAAAAUUCAAGUGAUUUUGAGCUCAAUGUCCAUUAUCUGGGAGCGACGAAAGACAACACCAGCAGUGAUCUGUCAUCUGCUGACCUUAUUUCUCUUAUUGAUAUCCGAUGAUAGGCAUGUAGCAUGAAAGCACUCGACUGUCCUAAUAUAUUUUCACUCCAAAAGAGCAGUUUAAAUUGGAUUUAUAUAUGAGGAGCUAACUUAACAGGUGUGUUAUCAAUAUAAUCAAUGUAACCAAUGUAAAUACCUUCUCAACUCAUCUUGGAAAAGAUAGUUUCAGAAUUAAUAGCAAGAUUCUAGCAUGUCUUUAAAACUGUUUUAUUAUAUGAUUAAUAAUUUAAAAUUUUUACAUAUUCCUAAAUUCAAGAAAUUUAUUAUUUUUUUUAGUGAAUUUAUCUGUUGAAUUUUAAAUAAGAUUUUUUAAACUUAUUUCUUAGUACAACUUACAAAAAAAAAAGUUUUUACCCAUAGAAUCAUGGUUUUCACAUUUAAUCUUCAUAAAAUCUUCUAUGAAUUUACUGUAUAGUAAUUAAAAAAUAUUAAGUUAUAAAAAUCUAGCAUAGCUUUUUGUAGAUCAAUGCCAAUGGAUUAAAAUAUUUUUAAUUGUAAAUAUUAUAUUAUUAUUGAAAUAAGAUAAAUAUUAUUAUUUAUUUUAAUUAAAAUAAUUUUACAGAAUGAUACAUUAAAAUGUGCCUAGAUAAAAUCAAAUGUUGAAAGAUAUGAAAAACAGUCAAUGAAAAUAAAUAUUUUUUACAAAUAUUUGAUUAUAAUAAACAUGAACAAAAUCAGUUUUAAAUUUUCAUUAAUUUUUUAAAAUAUUUAUUUGCACAAUCUUAACUUGAUGUACAGAAAUCUAUGUAUUGUAUCAAGACUAACCUGCUAUUUGGGAAGAAUUAAAAAAGAAAAGAAAGAUAUAAAUGCAGCUCUGAAUGAGGUGGUUGAGAGUUUAUCAGAGCUGGAGACCAUACCUGUAGGAUUAAAAAAAAAGUCAAAAGACCCAAUGGUCUACAAAUGCCUUUCAUGAGAUAGGCCAAUUUUGGGGGGCUACAUCUGGAAUUUUGAAGACCCCAAAAAUGGGGUAAAAUUUAAAAGUGAAAAAAUCCAGAACUAUUUCUCAAAAUAACACUAAAAAUGAACUGUUUUCUACUUUAUUAGAUACUUUUAAAAGCUCAUAAAACACAAGAAAAGCCAUUGCACCAACUACAACUGGGAUACAAGUGGAGUCAUUAAGCCUCUCUGUUAAGCCUAUUGUGUGUUUAAACAAGCAGCUACCACAAAACAAUAUCUCACCAAGGGUCACAAUUAGAAGUAUGGUUCCUUUGACUUUUUUGGUUGUCUACGGGAUCAGAAACCACUCAUUCAGAUCUGUAGUUUUACCAAACAGAAUGCCUACAACCUACAUUGUAAAAAUUAGUAAACUAUGUUAUGAAAACAAUACAUUUUUUAAAAUUCCACAUUUUUAAAAAUCCUGCACUGGAUUGGGCCUGUACUGUAUGCACUGUAUAUAUCAGCAAUGUACUGUACAUAUAUAUUAAUUGUCCAUUAAAUCUAAACUCAAUCUAAUGACAAAUAAUAAAAAUGUUAAUGGUAUGAAGAAUAAAUAUACUGUUUUUGACAGAAACUGACUCUUUCUUUAUCUGAAAUGAUAUUGAUUUAAAUUCUACAGAGUUGAUAGAUUAAAUCCAAUUCAAAUUGAUCUUCUUGAAGAAAAAACUUUUUAAUAAACCCAAGUGCUUUGAGAUUCUAUAUGAUCAGGAGUCAACAAGAAAAAUUUCUUGCUGAUUCCCUAUGAGAGACUUUCGUCCAAAAGCACUUAGAUUUUCUAAACAGAUUUUAUUCUAAAAGCAGUUUAAAUUGGAUUUAUGUUUGAGGAACUUCCUUAAGUAUGCUGUCUAUAGAUGAAAUUUCAGAAUUCCUAUAAUAAAAUAUUUAUAGACUGGUAUAGCCUAUAUAGAAUUCAUGUAACUGUGAAUAUUGAAAUAUUUUCAAGAAAUAUCAAAAUAUAAAAGUAAUUUAUUUUCUUAUAAAUGUUAAUAAUGUUUCAUUUCUAAAAAAAAAUAAAUACAAAGAUAUAGUUUCUCUAACAUGGCUACAAGCUGAUAUGCUCAACUUUAGGAGCAUAUGAACUAAAAAACAUUAUUAUUUUCAAUGCCAUGACAAAAUUGUAGAACAUCAGAAAUGCCUAAAAUUAUUAUUUAUUCUUUGAUACAUUCUAAUUUUGAGGAAAAUAUCAUUUAUAGAUGCAACAGCUUCAGAACCAGACAUACAAUUAAAAUGUAUAGCAAGUGUUUCUUAACAAUCAUCAGUAGGUUCUUGAAAACUGCAACAUAAAGAAACCAAUUUUACUGUAGAAUAAUUGAUAAAAACAAAAAUAUAAUUCUGUUAACUCAAGAAAUAUUUCAAAAGCUGGAAGUUUUUUUAUUCAAUAACGUGUAAUGAACCUUAAACACUCUUCCAGCAGGAAAAUGUCUCCAUCAAAGACACAGGCCUUUGAUGAAGGCCAAAAAUAUUUGCUGUUGUGAAAAUUAUGAAACAUUUCCUGCUUAAGGAUCACUACUGGAUGAAUUCUGUUAGCAUUACUCUAAUUGGAGCAUAUUUGCUACCUCUGGUAUUUAUUUCCACCACACAGAAUCAGUUUUACUAUUUAUAAUGAAAAUUCAACAACAAUAGUUGCAAAUGAUUGCAAAUGUACUUGUAUUUUUCCUUAGUAAUAUUGUAAUGAAACGAUCUUAAGUGAGAACUUGCUGUAUUCAUGCAACAUCUUUAAAUGAGUUAUAUGCAGAAAAAUGUCAUAAGAGAAUGGACUUUCUUCUCAAAUUUAUAAUCAUGAAAAGAAAUCAAACGUUUUUAUAUUUCUAUUUAUAAUUGGAUUCAGUCAUUCAUAUUCCCAAUAAUUCUUGAAGUUAAAAAUUGCUUGAAUAUCAAAAUUAAAUCCAGAAUCAAAAGACAAAAUUUACCAGCCUAAAUUUAAUACAGUAAAAAUAAACAAUAUGACAUUUUUAAUAAAAAUAUUUAUAAUUUCU